UCAUCCACAGAAGGCUGGUUUGUGCCCAUUCUAAAACCUUCAAAAGUGUAAAUAAACAUCUGCAGAAAUACAAAUAAACCAGCUACAAAAUAUUUUUAACCAGGAUUGUCAAGGAAUGUGUUAGAAAAUCCUUUACCUGACAAUAACAACAAGACUGGUUCUAUUAUAAGACACUAUGUAGAGAUAGAACCUCAUGCGAAAACCGUUGUCCUCACCUGCAGGGGGGAGCUUUAAACGAAGAACCAUUUCCAUCCAUCCAUCCAUUUUCAUUACAGCAGUCUCCAAGGCCGCCACCCAAAUCACACUGCACCAUACCAGCCCCUCGUGAACCUUCCUGCGGAUGAUGGGAUUGGCUCCAGAAUGGCCCUGUGACCCUGCAGAGGUACAAGACUCUGGUGGCCCACAGACUCAGGCAGCUGCAGCUCGCACAGCUGUUGUCAGCACUGUGAAAAAGAGAGAAAGAAAAAGGAGAGGAAGAGAACAACAUCCUCUUGUGACAGCUAUCAAACCUGGUGUGUAAUUUACACAGGAAGGAAAGAGCAACACCUGAGCCCUGUCUGCCAGGAGGCAGGAACCAGCUUGUAGUUGAAAGGAUUUCACAGUAUCACCAUGCAAACAUGUUCUGCUGCACUGACGUUACUCUUUUAGUGCACUAAGCUGAGGUCGUACAUUGAGGUCGUACAUUUCAUUUUUCUUUUUUGCAGUUUGUUAAAAAAUGGAUUGGUAUUAAAUCAAUAAUGAAUGACAAAAGGUGAAUGCUUAACGCCCAUAGGUGGGGCUUAAUUGUCGAAUUGACUGAAUUUUGUAGCUGGUUUUUCAAACCAUCGAAGUCUGUUUUUUAAGUUCAUGUCUUCCUGUAUUUCUACUCGUCUUCCACUGCUCUACUGAAACUACGGCUCAAUACUGUGGGUUUACUUUUAUUUGUACAUAAGGGGAAGCAUGUGCCCCCUUGUGGUAAUAUAUGUAAUUGCAUCAGAAUGACCAUGAUAAGGGUGAUGAGGAUGUUACAGCCUCAAAACAUUAACAAGACAUUUUUUCAUUUUAAAUUUGUUUGCUGCAAUUGUGCUGUACACAUGUUUUUUAUUUCAAAUAACUGUCAAUAUGAUGUAAAUAAACCCUGUGCCUAAAAUGUUCAAAUAAAUUAUUUUAAAAUGCAUCAUUGUCAGUUAUCGGGAAUCAGUGAUUGUAUAACAAUAGAAAUUAAAAAAUAUAUAAUAUAGUGAUAUAGUAUUUAAGUAUUUGGUUUGCACUUACUAUAUAAAACGGCUCCCCACUGUGACAAAGUGUGCAGCCAGUCAAAUAGAUGGGUUCAGUUCAGGGUGAGAGCAGGUGGAAGAAAAUCUGAAGAAGUUGAGGUCUUGCACAGAAGUUCAGUGAAGAGCAUUAUAUGCUGUCAUGCAAUUGGCCGUAGUAGAUGACGAUCUGGAAGGCAAAAAUACGUUAAUGGUUUUAAAAAUCCUGUUGUUUCUGAUUAGUAAAUAAACACUGAUUUAAAAAAAAUCUUUUGACAGACAUCAACUUACCCCAGCAUGUUAGAUUGAUGGUGUCAGUCUGCUCUAUCACCUGCAAUACUACUUUGGUACACAAGUAUGCGUCAGCCCACACUUCUCGCAUCACACAAAAUGGGCCCCUUCAACCACUUUACAAGGUGUAGGGGAAAGUUGUUUCAGCAGAUGGCGACAUUUCCCCUUGAACGUUCUAAGACGGUGUAGCUUUCUGAUAGAAUUGCUUCCCAAAAUUAUGUACACAGAGUACCAAAACUGAAUGAAUUCUUUAUUAUCAAACACUGUUAGUCGUUACACAAACACUUGCUUAAAAAAAGGAGACGAGAUGUAAAGUGAGACGAACACAUCACAGUUUGUAGACACAGUGAUGACUGCCACUGGUUUAUACAACAAACAACCGUUUUAAAGGUAGAGUGGAAACAUUUGUCACUCAUGAUUAGUAAACUUCCUAAAAAUGCAGUGAAGCCAAAUUCUCCAGGAUAACUUAAUUUUAUUAAAUAAAAUUUAACACAAACACAACCCCCCACCCCAUGGUUUCAAUUCCUUAAAAAUAUGGGACAAAGCAAAGGCUGUAAAACUGGCUUGUGUCCCUUUUUUUUUGUGUGUGGUUGGAUUUUUGCAAGUAUCAAUUUCCCAAUUAGUUCACCACAUAAAAUCCAGGUGCUUGGUGAACAGUUUUUGUCAUUUCUUUGGAUACAUUCAAUGCAUUAGAAUAUAACAGGUUUUCACUGCAUUCUUAGUGUACUUCUCUGGAAACGAUGUUUAAAGGUAUUAACAUUGCACCGAGUCUAUUUUAUUUCAGUGCAAUAGUGGUGGAUACAUGCAGGAGUAACAUAAAAAGUCACAUUUAAGGACUUUAAUAAAGAAAUAAAAAAAAA